GGCCUGUAAUCCCAGCACUUUGGGAGGCCAAGAACAUGCCAAUUACUUCGGUGUGGAUGAGAAGCUGGGGCCAGUGGCUGUGAGCAUUAAGCGGGAGAAGCUGGAAGACCACAAGGAGCACGGACCUCAGUACCAGUACAGGAUCAUCUUCCGGACCCGUGAG
rnacentral:sRNA from 1 species